CUUGGUCAUUUAGAGGAAGUAAAAGUCGUAACAAGGUUUCCGUAGGUGAACCUGCGGAAGGAUCAUUACCAUUACCUCAACUGGCGGGUUUCAGCGGUGCUUCGGUGCCACUGACGCCCACCUGUUUGACGUUACCCAUGCCUUUUUGCGUACAGUUUGUUUUCCCAGCAGGGCGUUACUGCCCCUACGGGAUAUCAAUCCACCCAUUGAUUUGCAGUCAAUGUCUGAAAAAUAAUAAUAAUUACAACUUUUAACAACGGAUCUCUUGGUUCUGGCAUCGAUGAAGAACGCAGCGAAAUGCGAUAAGUAGUGUGAAUUGCAGAAUUCAGUGAAUCAUCGAAUCUUUGAACGCACAUUGCGCCCCUUGGUAUUCCAUGGGGCAUGCCUGUUCGAGCGUCAUUUGUACCCUCAAGCUUUGCUUGGUGUUGGGUGUUUGUCCCGCGCUCUUUUGCGCAAGACUCGCCUUAAAUCAAUUGGCAGCCGGCAUGUUAGCCUGAGCGCAGCACAUUUUGCCCUUGCUUGCUUGUGUUGGCCCCCAUCAAGUCCAUAUAUUUGCUCUUGACCUCGGAUCAGGUAGGGAUACCCGCUGAACUUAAGCAUAUCAAUAAGCGGAGGA
rnacentral:rRNA from 1 species